rnacentral:lncRNA from 1 species
GCCACCCGCCCCCAGAGUGGGUCUUCACUCUUUGAAACUCCUUGAAGUUUCUGAAUCCACCAUCAACAUUCUUUUAAGAAUCAACUUUUUUGAAGUUGAACCCAACCAAAAUAGCAUAUACUCAAAUAUAUGUUUUUGAUGAGUUUUGACAAAAGCACACACCCAUUUGACCUCCACCAUGAUCAAGAUUCAAGAUACUUUCUUCACCUCUCAUGCUAAUAUCAGUCAGUUCUUCCCAGCCCUGGCAUCAGCAAGUACUGAUCUGCUGUCACUAAGCCAUUGGCAGUUCUGUCCCCAGCCCUGGUUCUAAAACUCCUAUGACUUCUGCUACCUAGUGCUACCCUUUGUCUUCGUGUCUGUAAAUACAGGCUAGUUAAAGCUGACUCUAUGCUGAACAAAACUAUCACCCUUAGCCCUGCUGCUGCUUCUAUUCCACUUUCUAAACCUAAUCAUUAAAAAAAAAAAAAAAAAAAAAAAAAAGACUAGAAUGAUAGUGCAACACAGUUAGUUGUCCUGGGCACAGAAGCAUAGAGAAUUAAAUAGUUCAGGCUAUCAAACUAGUUUUUCAUUUUAUGAGAGGUAGCAGGAAAAGAAUUCUAGAUGAGCUUUUUAUCACUAUUAAGUAUCUAGGUACAUCAGCUUCACUAAGAUUCAUUUUUUUCCCAGCUGGAAAAUGAAUAAACCACUGAAGAAUAUGAUAAUUAAAGUUCAUUAUUCAACAUAUAUUUGUUGAGAACUGUGUCCUAGUCUCUGGGGAUAAAGCAGUGACUAAAACAGCAAAAGGGCCUGACUUCAUGGAGCUUAUUUAUAUUCUAGAUUAGGGUGAUGAUAGAAACCAAAAUCAAAAUAUAUUUUAGAUUAGAUGGUGAUAAGUAUUAUGGAGAAAAAUAGAGCAGGGAAGAGACAAAAGGCUAUAACCCCUUCUUGGCUGAGAGUUGCUUGAAACUAGAGAUUGAUCUUUCUCCUUAUCUCUUGUGUUAUCUCAG